UAACUGGAAUCAUAGUUUGUGGCCCUUUCAGACUGGCUAUUAAAUACUUUCACUUAGCAACAUGCCUUUAAGUUUCCUGCAUGUCUUUUUGUGAUAGCUCAUUUUUUUUAUUGCUGAAUAAUUUCCCACUGUAUGAUUGUACUGAAAAUUGUUUAUACAAUCACCUAUUGAAGACCAUGUUAUUUGCUUCUAACUUUUGGAAAUCAUGAAGAAAGCUGCUAUAAAUUUUCAUGUACAGAACUUUGUUUGGACAUAAGUCUUCAACUCAGAGCCUGAUUAUGUGAGUAGAAAGGAUGGUACCACCUUCACACCUGGCCCUUGGAAGCCUCUAUGUGCCUGUCACCAGCUUUUUCAAAUUCCUUAUGACUGGGAUGGAUUCUACCCUCAGGGAACAUCCAAAAACAUGUGUUGAAGAUACUGGAGUUCCUGGAUCCUAACAUAAACAAAAGGCUCCUCAUGCCUUCCCCCCAGUGUACGAGCCAAAAAUAAACGUGCUGGUUUUGAAGCAUUA